ensembl:snoRNA small nucleolar RNA SNORA76
AGGCACUGUCUUGGAACCUCUUUGUGUCUGACCUGUGGCCUCAGGGUCUAGAGACAGUGCCAGAGCAGAUGGAGCUUGCUCACAUCCGGGGCUGCUUGGUGCUACCUUAGUGAUUCCUUUAGCUGCAAGCGACAUUC